rnacentral:rRNA from 1 species
UAGAGUUUGAUCCUGGCUCAGGAUGAACGCUGGCGGCGUGCCUAAUACAUGCAAGUCGAGCGAAUGGAUUAAGAGCUUGCUCUUAUGAAGUUAGCGGCGGACGGGUGAGUAACACGUGGGUAACCUGCCCAUAAGACUGGGAUAACUCCGGGAAACCGGGGCUAAUACCGGAUAACAUUUUGAACCGCAUGGUUCGAAAUUGAAAGGCGGCUUCGGCUGUCACUUAUGGAUGGACCCGCGUCGCAUUAGCUAGUUGGUGAGGUAACGGCUCACCAAGGCAACGAUGCGUAGCCGACCUGAGAGGGUGAUCGGCCACACUGGGACUGAGACACGGCCCAGACUCCUACGGGAGGCAGCAGUAGGGAAUCUUCCGCAAUGGACGAAAGUCUGACGGAGCAACGCCGCGUGAGUGAUGAAGGCUUUCGGGUCGUAAAACUUUGUUGUUAGGGAAGAACAAGUGCUAGUUGAAUAAGCUGGCACCUUGACGGUACCUAACCAGAAAGCCACGGCUAACUACGUGCCAGCAGCCGCGGUAAUA